UUGAUGUUUUGCAUUCCUUUUAGUAAUGCCUUUUCUAACAUGUUGCUGCAGGAAUAUAAGGAGAAGCCAGAUUAUGCACGUUGUGUUGCUAUUGUAGCAUCUGCAUCUUUGAGGGAGAUGAUAAAACCUGGUGCCUUGGCUAUUAUUUCACCUAUAGCAGUUGGUAUUGCGUUCCGGAUAUUUGGAUACUAUCCGGAGGCAAAGGAAGUGAUUGUCAUAAGGCUGCAAUUACAGGAGACAUAGUGGGAGACCCAUUCAAAGACACAGCUAGACCUUCACUUCAUGACCCAUUCAAUAACUUGAUUAUACUAUUCAGCUGUGUUGUUAUAUAUUUGGAUAGCUUACUAAUACUCUUAUACACAGACAUUGAUAAUGGGGAAUAGGGACUAUAUAGAUGAAAUGUCUACUGGAAAUGCUAGUGUGCUUACUACAGUGUUGAAAAUGAUUGAUAAGUACGAUCUUUAUGGGCAAGUGGCCUAUCCAAAGCAUCACAAGCAAUCAGAUGUUCCAGAUAUUUAACGGCUUGCAGCAAAAACGAAGGUUUAGUUGAUGUUUUAGAUAGAAAUAUACAUAGGGUUUAACAAAUAUAUUCUGUUCUAAAGGUUUUAAACCUUGGCAGGGAGUUUUCAUAAAUCCAGCAUUAGUGGAACCAUUUGGGCUAACCUUGAUUGAGGUUAGUAUUUACUGCAUACCAUCUUUUGCUGUGAUCUUUGUCUUCUCCAUAAAGUGACAAUUCUCCCAUCCAAUAUAUAUUUUUGUAUCAUUUAGGCGGCAGCACACGGGCUUCCGAUGGUGGCUACAAAAAAUGGUGGACCGGUUGAUAUACAUCGGGUAUAGAUUACCUAACUUUCACAUUUGUGCAACGUAUACCUCCUAUUUGUUAGUUGUUAUGAAUUGAAUCUGUCCUACAACUCAUUAACCUAGUAGGAAGAUGGCAACAUAAUAAGAGAAGUUUCAAAAUUCGAUAAAUAGUUGUUAUAGUUCCUACUUUUCUACUUUCUGCAGUCUGGCUACUUAAUUCAUGGAAGCUAUGAGAAAGUAGAUAGAAAUUUCAUUUAUGAUACACAAGGUUACUUUCUUAUGUCAUGUUGUGAAUUUCAAAUGAGUUUUCUUUAUCUACUGGACUUGCUGACAAGUGUUCUUUAAUUUCAGCCUUCUUCUCUUUUGGUUAUUAAAAUCAAAGUGACUUAUUCAAGUUGAUAAAUAAUUGACAUCUUCAGCUGCAAUGUUAUAUUUGAGUAGUGUUUCCUUGUCAAUUUAUAUUACUUUGGAUCUCUGGUUUUCUUUCACAAGUGCAGAAGCAACUGUUGAGCUUUAACCUCAAUUUGUAGUUAUUUUUCUGAUGCUAAAAAGUAAUUAAAAGCAUGCUUUCUGUCUUUCACUUUCUGGUGCAUGCUGGGUUAGAAACUUAGUUAUAAAAAUUGUUUUGUCGUACCUACUGAGCUUGUGAAGCUCAUUCCCUAUACUCUUGUUGUUUUCAGGUAGUCCAUGAGUGGACAUUUAAGUGAUAUUCUGGAGCUUUCUUGAGUGGAAGAUUGCUUGGUUUUACUUUGUGUUGUAUCGUGCCAAUGAGUUGUUAGUACUGACAGAUAAGCAAAUAGUUGCCAAGGUGACAUCUUACCUGCCAAAGGGCAUCAAGGACUUCGAGAAUGCUGCUGUGAUAAAUAAGGACAAGUUUUAUGUUUUCCUGCUCUAUGUAUUUAUAUGCACUUAGGGAAUGUUAAUUCCUAUGUAAAUGUUGAGAUGAAUAUUGCUGAUGGAAUGAAAUGAUUUUUGGAAUCAA